GAUGAACGCUGGCGGCGUGCUUAACACAUGCAAGUCGAACGAUGAAGGAGGAGCUUGCUCCUCUGGAUUAGUGGCGAACGGGUGAGUAACACGUGAGCAAUCUGCCCCUGACUCUGGGAUAAGCGUUGGAAACGACGUCUAAUACCGGAUACGAGCCGAGCAGGCAUCUGCAUCGGUUGGAAAGAACUUCGGUCAGGGAUGAGCUCGCGGCCUAUCAGCUAGUUGGUGAGGUAAUGGCUCACCAAGGCGACGACGGGUAGCCGGCCUGAGAGGGUGACCGGCCACACUGGGACUGGGACACGGCCCAGACUCCUACGGGAGGCAGCAGUGGGGAAUAUUGCACAAUGGGCGCAAGCCUGAUGCAGCAACGCCGCGUGAGGGACGACGGCCUUCGGGUUGUAAACCUCUUUUAGCAGGGAAGAAGCGAGAGUGACGGUACCUGCAGAAAAAGCACCGGCUAACUACGUGCCAGCCGCCGCGGUAA
rnacentral:rRNA from 1 species